rnacentral:rRNA from 1 species
AUUGAACGCUGGCGGCAGGCCUAACACAUGCAAGUCGAGCGGAUGAAGGGAGCUUGCUCCUGGCUUCAGCGGCGGACGGGUGAGUAAUGCCUAGGAAUCUGCCUGGUAGUGGGGGAUAACGUCCGGAAACGGGCGCUAAUACCGCAUACGUACUGAGGGAGAAAGUGGGGGAUCUUCGGACUUCACGCUAUCAGAUGAGCCUAGGUCGGAUUAGCUAGUUGGUGGGGUAAAGGCCUACCAAGGCGACGAUCCGUAACUGGUCUGAGAGGAUGAUCAGUCACACUGGAACUGAGACACGGUCCAGACUCCUACGGGAGGCAGCAGUGGGGAAUAUUGGACAAUGGGCGAAAGCCUGAUCCAGCCAUGCCGCGUGUGUGAAGAAGGUCUUCGGAUUGUAAAGCACUUUAAGUUGGGAGGAAGGGCAGUAAGUUAAUACCUUGCUGUUUUGACGUUACCAACAGAAGAAGCACCGGCUAACUUCGUG